AUGCACACCAAUUCCAUGGGAAUCCAACCUCUUACGGCCAAUUUUGUUACUGCUUCCUUGCCAAAGGUCUCGAUGAAAAAAGGGGGAUGGUCUUGCUCUCUAGUAGGGCUUGUUAAACUUAACGCUGAUCCUUCUUUUGACCAUGACUUACUUAGGGGUACGAUGGGAGUGGUCUUAAGAGACGACAAAGGUAGAUUUAUUGUUGGGGGUAAAGGUAAGAUUGACUGGUGCGCGGAUGUACUAAUGGCUGAAGCUCUGGCCCUAAAAUUUGGUUUGUCGCUGGCGCAAAGGACGGGAUGCAGUUACAUUAUUAUUAACUUGGAUAACAUGGAGGUGAUUGGUACCAUGAAGGAAGGAGGACGAUCGUCGGGUGUAGCGGCAACAUUUUUUUGA
rnacentral:rRNA from 1 species